AUACGGAGGGUCCAAGCGUUAUCCGGAAUCAUUGGGUUUAAAGGGUCCGCAGGCGGUCAAUUAAGUCAGAGGUGAAAGCCCAUCGCUCAACGAUGGAACUGCCUUUGAUACUGGUUGACUUGAGUUAUACGGAAGUAGAUAGAAUAAGUAGUGUAGCGGUGAAAUGCAUAGAUAUUACUUAGAAUACCGAUUGCGAAGGCAGUCUACUACGUAUAUACUGACGCUGAGGGACGAAAGCGUGGGGAGCGAACAGGAUUAGAAACCCCCGGUAGUCC
rnacentral:rRNA from 1 species